rnacentral:rRNA from 1 species
CAUGUGAGUCGACUUGGAGGUUGUGCCCUUGAGGCGUGGCUUCCGGAGCUAACGCGUUAAGUCGACCGCCUGGGGAGUACGGCCGCAAGGUUAAAACUCAAAUGAAUUGACGGGGGCCCGCACAAGCGGUGGAGCAUGUGGUUUAAUUCGAUGCAACGCGAAGAACCUUACCUACUCUUGACAUCCAGAGAACUUUCCAGAGAUGGUUUGGUGCCUUCGGGAACUCUGAGACAGGUGCUGCAUGGCUGUCGUCAGCUCGUGUUGUGAAAUGUUGGGUUAAGUCCCGCAACGAGCGCAACCCUUAUCCUUUGUUGCCAGCGGUUAGGCCGGGAACUCAAAGGAGACUGCCAGUGAUAAACUGGAGGAAGGUGGGGAUGACGUCAAGUCAUCAUGGCCCUUACGAGUAGGGCUACACACGUGCUACAAUGGCGCAUACAAAGAGAAGCGACCUCGCGAGAGCAAGCGGACCUCAUAAAGUGCGUCGUAGUCCGGAUUGGAGUCUGCAACUCGACUCCAUGAAGUCGGAAUCGCUAGUAAUCGUGGAUCAGAAUGCCACGGUGAAUACGUUCCCGGGCCUUGUACACACCGCCCGUCACACCAUGGGAGUGGGUUGCAAAAGAAGUAGGUAGCUUAACCUUCGGGAGGGCGCUUACCACUUUGUGAUUCAUGACUGGGGUGAAGUCGUACAAGGGGUAACCGAAGGAGUGUGAUCCUG